CAGCAGCCGCGGUAAUACGAAGGGGGCUAGCGUUGCUCGGAAUUACUGGGCGUAAAGGGAGCGUAGGCGGGUCGUUUAGUCAGAGGUGAAAUCCCGGGGCUCAACCUCGGAACUGCCUUUGAUACUGGCGACCUUGAGUAUGGGAGAGGUGAGUGGAACUCCGAGUGUAGAGGUGAAAUUCGUAGAUAUUCGGAAGAACACCAGUGGCGAAAGCGACUCACUGGCCCAUUACUGACGCUGAGGCUCGAAAGCGUGGGGAGCAAACAGGAUUAGAUACCCGCGUAGUCCCUGUCUCUUAUAC
rnacentral:rRNA from 1 species